AUCCAGCUGACGAGUCCCAAAUAGGACGAAACGCGUGUCCUGCAU
rfam:Schistosoma rodhaini strain Burundi genome assembly, scaffold: SROB_scaffold0002730